CCUACGGGGGGCAGCAGUGGGGGAUAUUGGACAAUGGGGGAAACCCUGAUCCAGCGACGCCGCGUGAGUGAAGAAGUAUUUCGGUAUGUAAAGCUCUGUCAGCAAGGAAGAAAGAAAUGACGGUACCUGACCAAGAAGCCCCGGCUAACUACGUGCCAGCAGCCGCGGUAAUACGUAGGGGGCAAGCGUUAUCCGGAAUUACUGGGUGUAAAGGGAGCGUAGACGGUGAUGCAAGUCUGGAGUGAAAGGCGGGGGCCCAACCCCCGGACUGCUCUGGAAACUGUGUAACUUGAGUGCAGGAGAGGUAGGCGGAAUGCCUAGUGUAGCGGUGAAAUGCGUAGAUAUUAGGAGGAACACCAGUGGCGAAGGCGGCUUACUGGACUGUAACUGACGUUGAGGCACGAAAGCGUGGGUAUCGAACAGGAUUAGAUACCCUAGUAGUC
rnacentral:rRNA from 1 species